rnacentral:rRNA from 1 species
AUAUCAAUAAGCGGAGGAAAAGAAACUAACAAGGAUUCCCCUAGUAACUGCGAGUGAAGCGGGAAGAGCUCAAAUUUAAAAUCUGGCAGUCUUCUGGCUGUCCGAGUUGUAAUCUGGAGAAGCGUUUUCUGUGUUAGACCGUGUACAAGUCUCCUGGAACGGAGCGUCAUAGAGGGUGAGAAUCCCGUCCAUGACACGGACUACUAAUACUUUGUGAUACGCUCUCGAAGAGUCGAGUUGUUUGGGAAUGCAGCUCAAAAUGGGUGGUAAAUUCCAUCUAAAGCUAAAUACAGGCGAGAGACCGAUAGCGAACAAGUACCGUGAGGGAAAGAUGAAAAGCACUUUGGAAAGAGAGUUAAACAGUACGUGAAAUUGUUGAAAGGGAAAYGCUUGAAGUCAGUCGCGUUGUGCAGAACUCAGCCUUGCCUUGGCUUGGUGUACUUUCUGCACAACGGGUCAACAUCAAUUUUGGCCUAUGGAGAAAGGUGGGGGGAAUGUAGCGCUGUUUCGGCAGCGUGUUAUAGCCCUCUAUUGUAUACAUGGGCUGGGAUUGAGGAUCGCAGCACGCCCUUGUGGCCGGGGGUUCGCCCUACGUACCGUGCUUAGGAUGUUGGCAGAAUGGCUUUAAGCGACCCGUCUUGAAACACGGACCAAGGAGUCUAACAUGCUUGCRAGUGUUCGGGUGGAAAACCCUUGUGCGUAAUGAAAGUGAAAGUUGGGAACCUCCGCAAGGGGGUGCACCGACGCCCGGCCCUGACGUUCUCUGACGGUGCUGCGGUAGAGCAAGUAUGCUAGGACCCGAAAGAUGGUGAACUAUGCCUGAAUAGGGCGAAGCCAGAGGAAACUCUGGUGGAGGCUCGUAGCGAUUCUGACGUGCAAAUCGAUCGUCAAAUUUGGGUAUAGGGGCGAAAGACUAAUCGAACCAUCUAGUAGCUGG